rnacentral:lncRNA from 1 species
UCAGUACCAAAUAUUAAUUCGAAGAUUAAAUGGCAGCUUCAGUUGAACCAAUAGUUGCAGGAGGAGCAGGAAUCAGUAACUGAAAUACAUACAACAUUAAUUCACUAAUACUGACACAUGUAAGAUUAUAAGAGUAGCACCAAAUAUAUUUCAGUUCAAGCAAAUAUAAAAACUUUAUCUAUAUCAAUACCAAAUAUUAAUUCGAAGAUUAAAUGGCAGCUUCAGUUGAACCAAUAGUUGCAGGAGGAGCAGGAAUCAGUAACUGAAAUACAUACAACAUUAAUUCACUAAUACUGACACAUGUAAGAUUAUAAGAGUAGCACCAAAUAUAUUUCAGUUUAAGCAAAUAUGAAAACUUUAUCUAUAUCAGUACCAAAUAUUAAUUCGAAGAUUAAAUGGCAGCUUCAGUUGAACCAAUAGUUGCAGGAGGAGCAGGAAGCAGUAACUGAAACAUAUACAACAUUAAUUCACUAAUAUAGACACAUGGAACUAUAUCCUAAAAGUCAAAACACAAGAAAUUAAAGUAUAUGUACCAUAUUUAGUAUACAAUAUAAUUUUACUUCAUAUAUAUUACUUCAUAUAGCUAUUAUAGUAAUAAUUAAUUUUAUUAACAAUCGUCAUAGUACAACAAUAGGGAAGAAAAAAUUAGGUGUUGGUUAAAAGCAGUCAAAAAAAUAUUUUUGUACAAAAUUAAUUCAAAUACUAAGUAAAUCUUGACAGAAUAACCCAAACAAGAAGGAAUUAUAUAACCAACCUGCAGUGUACAAGAAGUAACAGAUAGGCAUUUGAUACUUGAUAAGGAUGCUAACAAACUGAUACAAAAAUUAUCAAUCUGAAUGGCUGAUCAUUUUUUCAAUUGCUCCCUGGAAUGCAUUGAUUUAUCAAAUUAGAUUCAAUACACAGAACAUAAAUGUAAAAUUAAUUAAUAAUAAAACUUACUUGCGUCUCAGAAACAGAUACAGAAGAAUGACCCUGAAAAAGUUUAAAAAUUAAAUGUCAACAAAAUCCAACUGAUUUGUACCAAAAUAGAUCAUCUUCAAACUACAACCAUCUAAAUUGAAAAUUGAUAUAAGGCAUAAUGUGAGUAAUCCUUAGUAAAACUUCAUGUCAGUUUUGCGAUAUAAUUCAGUCAAAAUAAACUUCUCAGCCCAAAAAUAUGCAGCAGUUGUUGCAAAUGUUUUUACAUUACAUAUAUUUAUAAUCCAGUCAAAAUAAACUUCAUGUCAGUUUUCCUAGAUAUACAAAAAGGGAUAGAAAUGACAUCCAUAUUUAGACAUAAGUAAAAGUUUACAAGCUGCAGUGUUUGCAAAAGCUAACCAUGAAAAUAUUGGUCAACAGAUUGUUGCAGCACAUCAAAAUCUUGUUGUAAAAGAUUGUUGAUAUUAGCAAGAAGUAAACUUUGGCCUCUAGCCUUAACAAGUAAUGUAAUAAGAGAAGUUUCCAACCUAAGUUAAGUGUUAAAAAAUAUAUAUAUAAUAGGAAAAAGAAAAUGGGGGAAGCAAAUGUUUUAGUCGUUCACAUCUGAGCCUAAGAAUCAAAAGAAGUUUAUAAGAAGAAACUCAUUGACAGACAUUACAGACAAUAGGCUAAAAACAAACAGAUCUGAUAAUAUGGGUCAAACCAUCUAGCCAAUGGAACUGAUUGGCCAAGAAAUUUUCAUUAGACGUUUCUAACUUUAUGAACUUUGAACAAUGGAUGAGGACCAGCAUUUGCAACCCCAUGACACCAUGAUAUUUUACCAUUAAAAUGGGGUUUAAAAUUUUAAUCAAUAUCUUGUUAAGUGCAUUGAUUCAAUUAUGUUAACCAUUGUAUCAAAUAUCUACUACAUGAAUGAACUAAUCCACCCAGUACUAACAAGAAAAAUGAAAAUAGAUUUAAUUAUUUUAAAUAUAUUUUCAUCAAACAUUGAUAAUCAUAUAUAUUUAUAUGUUUAAAUAUUUUGAAUUUGGUAUUUUUAUUUCAAUUCAGGGUUGAUUUUGAGGUAACUUGGGUAAUUUUUUAAAGUAUGUUAUGUUAAUGUGAAAAGUAACUUUUGGUUAUUAAACUAUGUACAAACUUUGAAUCUAUUCAUAUAUAUAUCUCACAUUCCUAAUCAUUACAUAGUAAAAAAGAAAAAUGAAAUUCUAUUCCCAAUAAACACAUUUACUUAAUUUUAUUGAAAUAAAUAAAAUAAUUAAAUCUAUUUUUACACGAGUAUACAAAAAGUAAAAUAUAUAUACAUAUGAUUUCCAGUAAAUUUAAUUUGAUGUUAGAGUUGCUUUGUAGCUUCUUCAAGUAUCCCUUUAGAUCUUAUACUAAUAGAAAGUUGAAUCAGAACUUUUUUCCACAUCUGCCCAGUUAUGCUUAUGUUAAUAUGUGAAAUUCAGAUGAUACUAAUGUCUUACAAGUUGUAUCCCAUGAUGCAUGAUGCUAUUUAUAUCAUAAAACACAUGGUGUCACUUCAUCCAAAUAGCUGCUUCUUAAACUAGGUUUGCAUGCAGUUAGUGAAUAAACAGCAAAUUAUUGAGGGAAGAAGAAUAGUAUCUCUUUAAAUGCCAUAGCAUAAAGAAUGGGCACAUCAAGAAACAAUACCAUGAAACCAACAUUUGAAGAAUCAUGUUUAAAUCUAAGCCUCACUGACACACAAGUAUACCGUACUCGAUUUAACCAAAUUUUUUAAAAUCACAACAAUACCAAUACAAAUAUGUCUUAAUAAUCACAAAGUUUAGAAUCAAAUUUUUACAGUGCAGCACAAACAAACUAAAAACUGGAAUAAUCUAAAUUACAACUGAGUAAUUGAACUAAAACUUGCAACUCAUAGUGGGAUUCAGAUACCCUAUAUACUGAAUUUUGAAUCUAGAUACUUAAAACUCAAACCUCCUCUCUUACCAACUAUGCUAAGACUUUCAUUAAUGGAGAUUUAACAACUGACAUCAAAAUUUAUAUAAAACAAUUAAUUAAUAUUACACAACCAAAACAUGACUACCUAGACGAUGAGUAGAUCAAGGGGGCAAAAACAAAAGAAAGCAUCUCAAAACUAGAAGCACCAUUGACAUAGUUAAUUAAACAAGCAUUUAGCAAGUUAGAAACAUUCAAGUACCAUCAGGCCGCAUUAAUCUUUUCCUUAACAGUGGGUUGUGGUCCUGUUCAAAACAAUAAUAAAAUAUCAGAAAUAUACAAGCUUGAUAAGGUUUUGCCUAUGUUAGCAAAAUAAAACAAGGAGAGAAAGGAAGAUUGAAACAAGAAAAGCAGAAAGACCUAGAAAGCAGGAAGACGUUAAAACAUACCUUGUAAAAUUUGGGUGUCAU